rnacentral:rRNA from 1 species
UACGGAGGGUGCUAGCGUUGUUCGGAAUUAUUGGGCGUAAAGAGCUCGUAGGCGGCCUGUCGCGUCGGAUGUGAAAGCCCGGGGCUUAACCCCGGGUCUGCAUUCGAUACGGGCAGGCUAGAGUGUGGUAGGGGAGAUCGGAAUUCCUGGUGUAGCGGUGAAAUGCGCAGAUAUCAGGAGGAACACCGGUGGCGAAGGCGGAUCUCUGGGCCAUUACUGACGCUGAGGAGCGAAAGCGUGGGGAGCGAACAGG